rnacentral:rRNA from 1 species
AUCGUGAGGAUUUGCGGCGGAGGGUGAGUACACGUGGGUAACCUGCCUGUAAGACUGGGAUAACUCCGGGAAACCGGAGCUAAUACCGGAUAGUUCCUUGAACCGCAUGGUUCAAGGAUGAAAGACGGUUUCGGCUGUCACUUACAGAUGGACCCGCGGCGCAUUAGCUAGUUGGUGGGGUAAUGGCUCACCAAGGCGACGAUGCGUAGCCGACCUGAGAGGGUGAUCGGCCACACUGGGACUGAGACACGGCCCAGACUCCUACGGGAGGCAGCAGUAGGGAAUCUUCCGCAAUGGACGAAAGUCUGACGGAGCAACGCCGCGUGAGUGAUGAAGGUUUUCGGAUCGUAAAGCUCUGUUGUUAGGGAAGAACAAGUGCGAGAGUAACUGCUCGCACCUUGACGGUACCUAACCAGAAAGCCACGGCUAACUACGUGCCAGCAGCCGCGGUAAUACGUAGGUGGCAAGCGUUGUCCGGAAUUAUUGGGCGUAAAGGGCUCGCAGGCGGUUUCUUAAGUCUGAUGUGAAAGCCCCCGGCUCAACCGGGGAGGGUCAUUG